GACGAACGCUGGCGGCGUGCUUAACACAUGCAAGUCGAACGGAGUGCCCAUGAAGGAGAUUUCGGUCAACGGACUGGGUAACUUAGUGGCGGACGGGUGAGUAACGCGUGAGGAACCUGCCUUUCAGAGGGGGACAACAGUUGGAAACGACUGCUAAUACCGCAUAACGCACAGUUAUCGCAUGGUAGCUGUGCCAAAGAUUUAUCGCUGAGAGAUGGCCUCGCGUCUGAUUAGCUAGUUGGUGAGGUAACGGCCCACCAAGGCGACGAUCAGUAGCCGGACUGAGAGGUUGGCCGGCCACAUUGGGACUGAGAUACGGCCCAG
rnacentral:rRNA from 1 species